UGGAGGAGGAGUGGAGAGGGGAGUGGAACCAGCCUGUCUCCUUGUACUCAAAAUGAAACAUGAUAAAGAAACAAACUGCAUAAAGGAUGACUAACAAAGACAGCUUUAAAAAUCAUUCCAGGGUUAGUCUUCUCAGGUUGACAGCAGGAAAGGACAUUCGGUUUCACACAUUACGUCAGUUUUAGUCCAUCUCCCUUUCAAGUUCUCUGUCUGCUCUUACCACAGAUCCAGCCACCCACACCCUCUGAGACCGCCUGCAGAACCCCAGGCACGGCCACUUCUUUACAGUCACACAGAUCUUUUACAACGGCUUUGGAAAACCUCUGCAUUCUGCCUGGCCCCUCUGCUCCCCAUGGAUGGGAGGGAAUUGCUUGCCCAGUGUCCGUGGACAAUCCACCGAAUGAGCAAACCCUUCCCACAAACCCUGUCACCAGCUGAUUCCUGCACGCUCCUCUCUCCCGCGAUGCCGGAGGGAGCGCCGGAGGUUCCUUGGCGGCUGAUGGAAUACCGAGGUUGGCUCCAGGCGCAGCUGCCCCGACCCCCACGGGCUGAUUCCACAGGAAACAGCGCAAACAUCUGCACCGCCGAACUGCCUGACAGACCUCGGCAGAGCUCUGCUCCGGCACUCCAGCCUUUGGAAAUCCAGCACACUGCAAGCUGCCGUAGCCCCAGCAAUCCCCACCAGCUGAAACAACGGGCUGGAAAGUCUGUUUUCUCCAUAUCUGCUCCCUGUCCCUUUUGAAAAUGCAGUAUAUCAAUUCAAACGAUUGUAAAGGUCCAGCUUUUCCAGUGUGGAUCAUCCAGUUCCAGAGCAAGCUCCCAAAGGCGCAGGGAACACUGUCAUUGCAGUGCCAUUGCACUUGGGCAGAUCCUGGUGAACCACCGAAGAGAAAGGCUCAGUGUUUUGGAGGAGAGGCAUCUGCUCCAGCCCCGUCCCGCUGCCGAGGAGCUCACACCGGCCCUGGAGGGGAGCCAGGCUCGCAGACUGCGCUCGGAGUUUACAUGACAAAGCAGCUCAUUCCUAAUUAAACUUCAUCCAGCACUUUUCUGUCUCAUACAUAAUUAGCGCAGAACAACAAACACAGAGGAAUUAUUCCAGCUGCUUGUAACACUGAAGGUCCAUGAGAGCCUGGGAGAAUGUAUCCACAUGCAGGCUUAUCUCUUCAUUUCAGACCAUUCAUCAUCCCUUGCCUGGAAGCAACAGUUAAUUUCCAACAACUCAGUGUCAAGAUGGCAGUUUAAAUCCUCUUGAGGAUUGCCCCAGGAGAAGAUUUUGUCCCAGUUCUUUUGCAGCCACUGUAGAGUCAGCCUCUUUUGAUGUCACUCAGUUUUAGAGUGUGAUUGAAAUAAAGAAAGAGUGAAGAUCUGCUGGUGACCAUCCCAACCCAAGGAAGGAUCAAAUCUCCAGAGCCUUCUCUUGGGAUUUCAAUAGGGACAGAAAUUAAGAGUCAGAAUGGUUUGGGGUGGAAGGGACCUUAAAGAUCACCCAUCUCCCUCCCUCCUGCCAUGCUCAGGGACACCUCCCACUACCCAGAAAGGAAAAAUACAUCCUGCCAGAAAAUGCUGCAUGUCAUGGAGAGGAUUUCCUAGGGUUACCAUUUUCUCUGGAUAUAGAUUAGCACAACUCUUGCAUGAAGUAGGAGAUACUUCCAACUUAGAGUGGGGGAGAAGGACCUGAGCCAACACCAACACACUGGACCUUUCUGAAAAGGCCACAUCCCAAACAGACCUGUCCCCCACACCUCCCAAACAGCAACCCUGAUAAAAUCCCCAGGAAGAACCCGCAGAGCAGAGUCCUGACAUCCCCUUCUCCCCUUUUCUCUUACAUUUAUUUGGAUUCAGCUUUAUCUCUUUAAGGACUCUCUCAGCACAUUUUACUGGUGUCAGUGCCCCUUUUACCAAGGACAAUCUGCAUGGAACAUUUUGGAAAGCAAUGAUUUAAGAAGCUGCAGGCAGCAUGGCAGAGUGGCUGACGAGCCAUCUCUGGAAAUCAGAAGGUGUCUAAAGAGGGUGUUUACAAGCAGAACGCUGCUAAAAGUCUGCCUUGGUUGCAGAUAACAAGGCUGAGACAAUGACAGAUUUCCUUCCCCUGGCAGCCAAGAGCAGCUCCCCGUGAUUGCCUCGCCGUGUUUAUCCAGGAUGCUGGGAGAGAGCAGGCACCAAAUAUGCAAUUAAUUGGCAGUUUGCAAGAGCAUAUUGCCUAA